rnacentral:tRNA from 1 species
AUUCAGGGAUGCGUAAUGAACCCACAGUGUUCCACUUACCGGGCAGAUGCCAUGUCCACUAAGCUACCCUGGA